CCGACUUGAGCCGGCUGUUCAAGAUGGAGGAUGCAGAGUUGUUUUCAGGACAUGCUAGUGCUUUGAAGCUGCUUCCGUGGUUCUUUACUUCCCUCGUAGGGUUCCUGUAUCUUCACUGGACUUACAUCAGAGAUCAAGUUUCGGGAGCACUGCUUCAAGCCCAAAAAGGAACUGCCGUGGUCGCCUUCUUUCUGCAAGUCUUCCACCGUCUGGAUUAAGACCUGGUUCUGGUCUGCGAGGUCAUCAAGAGCUUGGCGAGCUUGGCGAGGCGAGGAUUCAUCAAGGAACAAGGGAAGCGCACGCAAAUGGUGAAGUCAUCAACACUCGGAUCUUUUAUGCGCCGGGCCAAGCUACCUCCAUUCCCAUGUGCUUUUCACCUCUGCCAAUACAUGAAAGAGGUGGUGUUUUUUCUGGUCAAAUAAAAGAAAUGAUUUUUUUUUUUCUACCACUCCUUGCCUUCGCUCCCACUCGCUUGGCUUUACUAGCACAUGUAGCACAUGUCCAAGGGUAAAAUAGUGGGACUUGUGCCAGAGGCAUUAAAAAUCCUCAUCUGUGGAACACAUUUGUUGAGGCCUGUGGGGUCGGUGGGUGGGUAGAUGAGGUUUUGCGGUGCAGAGGGUGCAUUGAGCGGGCACUGGGCUGGCCUUGGUUUACAGAUACUGACUAAAAUAGAAAUGUUCUGACCGAAAAGUUCUUUGGGACUGUUUGUCCUAAUGGGGGUUGUUAAAGGGUUCUUGAGCUUGUAUUAAUAAAAUAUAUGGGAGUUGCUUGGAAUAAAUCACAUUUAAAACAGCAUUCAAGUCAAUCUGCAACAGUUAAUCGAUGAUUAAUCGAUUAUCCAAUUAAUCGAUGACUAUUUUGGUGACUCGUUUUCUGAUAUGUUGUGAACCAAACAUUGUCCCUCUAGUGCUUAGCCAAUUAUUAAAUUAAUCAAAACAAGUUUCAGAUUAAUCGACGAAUAAAAUAAUCUAAUGGACAUGCUUUCCAGGUCAACUGUUUUAAACAUUCCCAAAAAUGGGAAUAGAAUUAUUCCAUGGAAGCGGACACUGGGCUGGUUUGUUUACAGAUAUUGACUAAAAUAGAAAUGUUCUCACCAAAAAUUUCUUCGGGACCGCAUUUAAAACAGCAUUCAACUCAAUCUGCAACAUUUAAUCGAUGAUUAAUCGAUUAUCCAAUUAAUCGAUUACUAUUUUGGUGUUUGAUUACUUGUUUUUCUGAUAUGUUGUGGACCAUACAUGGUCCCUCUAGGGCUUAACCAAUUAUGAAAUUAAUCAAAACAAGUUUCAGAUUAAUCAGCGAAUAAAAUAAUCUAAUGGACAUGCUUUCCAGAUUAACUGUUUUAAAUAUUCCCCCCUAAAAAGCCUGAAUUUAUGAAUCAGCCACAGAUUACUCUUGAGGUGGAUUAUUAUUUCUUAAUUCAUUUAGUUGUCGGUUAACUACUAUGAUGAUGAAUUAAUCUUCAGAUUAAUACUAAAAAAAAACAUAGCCCCAGUCAAUUAUAUCUGUAUUUUUUUUGUUACUUUUUUGCACUUUCCAUGUGGUUCUUAUUGACUAAUUAUUUAGAGUGCUGACUUAAAAAACAGAAAAAUUAAUUCCUGAUUAUUUGAAACACUUGAUUAAUAUUUAACAACAAUGGCAGCUGUUAUCCUCUGCAAAGGCAGUGACCUUCCCCGUCUUAGUCGCCCCAUUCGCAUGGGAACUUUUAAUACUUCAGAUAAGACUUCAUAAACAAAAGCAUGAAACUAAACUUAGCUUGAUUAUAGCGAACCCUCUUUGUCGUGCAUCGCAAGGUUUACCCAACUUGUUGAAUUAUUCACUGAUCAUGUGGUGUAAACAAUGAUAUGGAGGGAGGGUUUUUACCUUGUAAAGUCGUAUCGCAGCCUCAUGCCUCUGGUUGGUGGUGUGUAGCCUCAGUUUAUCCACGCUGUUGCUGUAGUAGUCACAAGCGUUACACUUGAGGUGCACGGGGUUACCGAUGGCCACGCACUUUAAUCUCCAUUGGUUGGCUUUGCCCCCCUCCUUGAUGUGCGCCACCAACUGAUGCUUCUGCAUGUGCUUGUCCGUCUUGCAGUGCAGCUGAAAGUUAGCCUUGAGCUGCGUGUUGUAGCUGCACAGCUUGCACUGGUAGACGUCGCCGACCACGCAGCGCCACUCCUCUUCGGGCAGCGAACGCUCCGUGUUGACGUGGGCAUUAAGAGCCUCCAGGCUAUCCGUGGAGUAGCAGUUGCACACAGCGCACUGGUAGAGGCGCAGAGACGGGUCGCUAAUAGGCGGCGACAGAGACGAGAGGCACGGGUCCGACGAGGACAUGCCACCCAUUCCACCUGAGGACACCAGCGAGAGGUCGUCGGCCAUCAGCUGACCACCGGCGAGACGCAACUCCGCUGAUAGGUCGCUGUUCGCUAGAAAGAAAGUCAAUAAAGAUGUCAUGUUAGCACGGCGCAACAGGAAGUAGUUUUGUGUAUAAAACACUAUUAAAGCAGCAAAAUGAAUAGUGAAUAUAGUGAAAGGAAUGGGAGUCGACAGUAGGGAGUCCUCCAUGCGGGCUUCUUUUACACAAAAGGAUUUGAUAAAAUAAACCCUCACAGACGACUAGGGCUCCUUACAAAGUCUCGUCUAUAAAAAAAAAAGCCCUAAUAGGAUUGAAUCAGGAUCAAUUACAAUCAUCCUUUUCAAGUUGCUAACUCGCUCAUCAGGUAGCUUUAAUUACUCCUCUCAGCGGUGGUGGUGGGACAACGCUUUUAAAGCUGCAGGCUUUUCUUUCUCACACACACACACACACACACAGAUUUGAAAAGACUUUCUUCUGCCCACCCAGCCCUGAAAAUGAAAAAAAAAAAAAAAAAAAAACACCACUCAUAAAAAUGUAAUUUGUUUGAUCCCAUCAUUGACCCUCUGUCUACGCUUUCAAAACGCAUAAAUUAACACUUUAUUUGGAGCACAAAGAGGACAAAUUGAAAUAUUUCUGCUAUACUGUAUAUUGUACCAAUCAGUGACUGUGUGUUGUAUAGUGAUGUAGGACUAUGUUAAAAAGCCGUACCAUUUCAGUAUGUGGAAUCAAACUAUGGAAUGGAUUGAGUAAGGGAAUCAAACAAUGCACAACGAUGAGCCAAUUCAAGAAACAAUACAAGCAGUUGAUGUUCACUAUAUCACUAUAUUGACAGUUAUGACAGUUACUACGGUACCCAUUAUGUCAUUGUAUGGUCAUAUCACCUCGUACUUCGGUACGUGACAAAAAUAAAAUUAAAAAAGAAAAAAAAAACAAGAAAAAAACACUUAAACUAUAUUAGGAAAGCAGGAAGUGAACAAAUGUAACAGUUACUAUUCGUAAAAGUACCAAAGCACCAAAGUACGAGGUGAUAUGACCAUACAAUGACAAUAUAUGACCAUACGUGACAAUAAAAAAAUAAAAAUAAAAAAACUAUAUUCGGAAAGCAGGAAGUGAACAAAUGUAAUACAUGACAAAAUAAUAAUCGAUAAUAAUACAUGAAAAAAUAAAAAUUAAAAAUUAAUUUAAAAAAUUUGAAAAAAUAAUUUAAAAAAAACCUAAAUUAUAUUGGGAAAGCAGGAAGUGAACAAAUGUAAUACAUGACAAAAAUAAAAUGUAAAAAAUAAAAAUGAAAAAAGCAUUUAAAAAAAUAAUUUAAAAAAACUUAAAUUAUAUUAGGAAAGCAGGAAGUGAACAAAUGUAACAGUUACUGAUUGUAAAAGUACCAGAUGGAGGGGUAGCAUUUAAUAAGCUUUGCUUCUUCCUACUCCUUUUGGACAUGUGGAACUGUGAACUGAUUUUGUGAUGCAUUCAAUUGCAAUCACAUGUACGUAUGUUCAAAUAAAAUAAAACCAUUACCAUUACAUUUUCUACCCAUGGUAUUUAAACACGGCAUAAAACAACCCCCGCCGCCACCAUGCAAACCCUAUGUACAGCUGUAGUCGCUAUAGGGAGCUGCUUGUUAUCAGUGUAAAUCACCAAGAGUACAUCUGCUGGCUGGGCUGUGACCUCCACACUGUGUGUAACACUGCAGGGUCAUUGUUAAAUCUCCCUCGCUCCUACGGGAAUCCACUUCCUGCUGUGUGCCAGCAUGUGUGUGUUAUGUGUGUUCUCUCCAUUGUGUGUGUGUGUGGAAAGGUGGGGUGGUAGGGAUUAAACUGAUUUAAGAAAAUUACAAAUGAAAGAUUAAGAAUAACUCUCAUGUGGCGUCUCAUAAUCAUUUUUUAAUCAGCUAGGGGUCAAAGAGAAGGAGACAAUGGCGGAGAGACAAUAUGAGACUAGAGAUAAGGGGAAAGGGAAAAAAAGGAUAGAGAUAAAAAUGCAAAUGAACAGAGGAGAUACUAAACAAAAAACACUGAUAAUAACAGAUGGGAUCAAUUGGUUGAAUAAAUGAAUCAAAGAAAUGAACAAACUGCCGCCACAAGGUUGUUGAUGGCCGAUUUGACAAGUCUACAGUGAAGGGAACAAAGUGAAGGCUUAACGUGCCAACACACAGUUGCAGAUAUCUGCUGGAAAAGGAAGGACAGUGGGUCCCACAUUCAAACCAGUUACAUUAUUCAUUCAUUCAUCGCAGGUGUUGCUGGAGCCUAUCCACACAAAGAGGGUGGAAUUGAACCCUGGUCUCCUAGCUGUGAGGUCUGCGCGCUUAGUUCAGUCAUUAAUGCUAAUAUCAAUAUAUAAUGUUAGGACAAUGUACAAAAUACAUUUGCUUUGUCCCAAAAAAACAAUUGUUUGUAAACCAAAACAACUUUCCGUACACCUUGGUUUUCAAUUAAAAUAAUUGCCGUCUUGGUUAUCACACCAAACACUGUAUCUGUUGCCUUUCGAGU